GGUUGAUCAGUGAUUAUGAAUCACUAUUGGAUCUAAUCAUCGAUAUGAUUGAUGAUUAAUCCAGUGUAAGAGUUAUAAUAAAGUAAUUUACUAAGAGUUAGUUAGUUGUAGGAUGAUUAAUUAGUAAUUAGAUUGCUAAUUGACUCAAUUUGAUUGAGCAACAGGGCUAAAAUUAAGUCUAAUUAAAUUGGAUGCAAUUUAACUUCAUUUGGAUUUGAUUAGAUC
rnacentral:lncRNA from 1 species